CCGGGGUUACCUGGGCCAGGUGGGCUCGGCCGCGGGGACCCUCCUGGAGGGGCUCAACCUCCCCCAGACCCAGCACAGGAUACGCACGGCGUACGAGCAGGGAGCCACGGCCGUGGUCACCUACACCGGGAUCCUGACGGAUCAGCUCUACCACUGGUGGCAGGGCGAGCAGUGACCCCAAAAUCGGGGUAAAGGACCCCAAAAUUGGGGUAAAGGACCCCAAAAUUGGGGUGAGGGACCCCAAAAACCCCAAUAAAGGAGAGCGGUGACCCCAAAACCGGCCUGAGUUACCCCAAAAACCCCAAUAAAGGCGAGCGGUGACCCCAAAA